GACGAACGCUGGCGGCGUGCUUAACACAUGCAAGUCGAACGGAAAGGCCCUGCGUUUUUGGGGUGCUCGAGGGGCGAAGGGGGGAGUAACACGUGAGUAACCGGCCCUUGACUUUGGGAUAACUUCAGGAAACGGGGGCUAAUACCGGAUAGGAGCUCCUGCAGCAGGGUGGGGGGUGGAAAGUUUCGGCUGUUGGGGAUGGACUCGCGGCUUAUCGGCUUGUUGGUUGGGGAGUGGGUUACCAAGGCUUGGACGGGUUGCGCGCCGGAGGGGGUGACAGGCCACACUGGGACUGAGAUGCGGCACCGACUCCUAAGGGAGGCAGCAGUGCGGAAUAUUGCACCAUGGGCGGAGGCCUGAUGCAGAAGCGCCGCGUGCGGUAUGACGGCCUUCGGGUUGUAAACCGCUUUCGCCUGUGACGCCGCGUGAGUUACGGUAAUGGGUAAAGUAACACCCGCUAAACACGUG
rnacentral:rRNA from 1 species